UACGUAGGGGGCAAGCGUUGUCCGGAAUCAUUGGGCGUAAAGCGCGCGUAGGCGGCCCGGUAAGUCCGUUGUGAAAGUCAAAGGCUCAACCUUUGAACGCCGAUGGAUACUGCCGGGCUAGAGUCCGGAAGAGGCGAGUGGAAUUCCUGGUGUAGCGGUGGAAUGCGCAGAUAUCAGGAGGAACACCAAUAGUGAAGGCAGCUCGCUGGGACGGUACUGACACUGAGGCGCGAAAGCGUGGGGAGCGAACAGG
rnacentral:rRNA from 1 species